UCAUUCUUUCUCCCUGUUCUGCCACAAGUCUCUGUGACAGGCUGGAAUAAUGUCAGUUGUCCUGAUAAUAAGAAACACUGAUUUUCUUGCCGCUGUGAAGUAAAACAAUAAGUUGCUUUACGAUAAUAUUUGCCUUGAACCACACUUAGACAAAGCUCUGAAUUCCCCCUGAGAGGCUAAACUCAGCUCCAUGGGUUAUUUAUAGAUCCUCUGCUGGCUGGUGAUAAUGAUCCUCCUCAGGCUUAAGUCACAGGCAGAAUAAUCCCCUGAAUUGCAGACCUUUUAUUAAUUGUUCCUGUAAUUUUGCUUUGUGGGAGGAGAGCUACGUCCUACCUGCGUGCUUGGAUGCUAUUAACAAAACACCUCAAAGAGCAUAUUGUACUGUUCCAAAGGAACCUUACCUCAGAGAACAGGGACCUGCAGUACCUUGGCUCAGCUUCCCAAGAAACUGCACAAACUUCAUCCUGAGGAGGGUAAAAUUCUCAGGCUUUAUCCUGAGAAUUUGCUUACUCCAAACCACCAUGGCUGAGGCUUCCUUCACAUGCCCACAGCAGCAAGAGCCAAGAGCAGCCAUCCCAAACAACACAGCCAAGCAGCUGUGUUGUUCAAGUUUUCUGCAUGUGUAUGUGAUGAAAAAGAAACCACAUUCCAUGGAAAUCUUGAAAAAGAUGGGAGCACUUGAAAAAUCACAGGCAUUACAGAUCUCCUACCAGCAAUUCCACUGAAGAGUGCAAUGAGAAAGCAAAUGGCAGAUUAUUUUCCCUCACUAUUCAUGCUUCCAAAAGAGUUGCAGGCUGCAAAGAGAACGAGAUGAACCUACAAGAUGCAGUCAGACCAGGUGAGAAAGGUAAAAGUACAGCUACAGAUGGGGAAAAAACCUACCUGGUGGUGUGUGUUAGCCUGUGAGAGUCACGAGCUGUGAGAAGAAUUUACAAACCAGGAAACUGGAAGGGAAGGCAAAUACUGCCAGCCUGGAGUGUGGAAUGUAGGUACUGUGGUGGGAAAGCUCAUUUCCAGAUAGUCCUAUCUAAGGGCCACAUGCUGCUUGGGAGCACAAAAGUGCCAGCAGACCUGCUCACCUACUGAUACUGCCAAAUAUAUUGGGAGUUUAUCACAAGUUUUCAGUUAUUAGGCAGAAAAUUAACUUGGGCCCGUUCUGUUUGCAUCUAAUGAGAAAAGAGUCAGUUUUGCAGAAGAAAUUAUGGAGCUAGGGAUUACACACAGAGGACUGCAGGGCUGUUCUUCAGUUUAAUUAUGAUUUUGCAUCUGAGUCUAAAGUAAGUCCUGUCAGUGUUGCUUGUGGCAGUAAGUCCUCUACUACUCAGAGGAUUUCCAGAAACCUUUUGCCCUUUCAAGGACCCACUGUUAGGGACAUGCAUGUAGAAAAGGCUCUGGAGCACUUUGGUGACACAUGUACUCCUGAGAAGGUGAUACCUGGGUUUAAAUCCUAACAGCAAUUUUAGCACUUCCUAUACUAAGCCUGUGUUCUGACAAUCAUUGCUGGGAAGGUGGUGGCAGCUUUAGACACACAGAGCUGCCUGUUAGUGCUGUGCCAGAACUCAUCCCAGCAGUUCAGCCAAGGGAAUGAAUCACUGGAGUGCUCCUGACCAACACCGCUGCAGCAGUCAGCCCAUUCUAAUCUGUGCUGCUGCUGUGGCUGCCUGAAGUAACUCGGCUGAUUUAACACGGGAGUGGCUGAGGAGAGCUCAUGUAAUCUGUUCCCUGGCUGAGCUGUGGGGAUGGAACUGCCUCAAGCAGCUGCUGUUGACAAAUAGGAGAGACUUUCUGCAUAGAUCAUCUGAAAGACACCUAAUGCUGCUGCCAGUGCUACCUUUGUCAGGCUGGAAUCAAUAUCAGUUGCUUUAGAGGCUCCUUAUCAGUCUGGGUAAAGCCAGAGACUCCACAGAAGCAGCAUCUUAAAAGCUUGAAAAGCAUAAAAAUAUAAAGCUGAUGUUUGAGGCAAUGUAGGUCCACCAAUACCAGAAUGAUUUUAUGAAAGCUCUUACUGAAACAGUAAAUGAAAUUGUCUGAGCAAUUGUCCCUUAACACUGCACAUGCAAAAGAAACAUGUUUAAUUUAAUAAGGCAUGUCUUUGUCUUUUACAGGACCUGGCUAACAGUAAGGCAUUGAUAAAGUUCAGUCAGGAACUUUAGGAAGUUCUUAGCUGAACAGAAGGUUCUGGUAGGCACUUUGUUACUGGAGCUGGGCCAGGGCAGUUGAGGAAGGACUCCCACAGCUCAGAGAAUCACUGAUACUUUCUUGUAGGUCCAGCACAGAAUGUAAAACAAUACAUGAUAAUCUUUUGAAGUAUGUGCUGGAGUUUCCACUUUUUGAAUUUAAAAUACACAGUACUGCAGUUCAGGCAAGAAAAACAAAACAGCACACACAAGAGUGGACUCCCUUGCUUGAGUCUAAAAUGUAAACAGAGCACACACCCUCAAACAAAUACCCACCAUAACCCCCAACCCCAAACACCAGCCUUUUUGAGUAUACUGAAUUCUGCUGUUACCUACAGGUGUUAAUCAGCUUUUUCUAUUCCCUUCUCUCACUAAAGGUAAAAUCAUACUCAAUUUCAACUCUCGAGUCACGGUCUUUUCCUGGCUAAAAGAAAACACCUUUCCCAGAGAGAGAGAAAUACCCAAAGAGCUCAAUAUUGCUGUAAAACACAAGAGCUUUGUUUAAAGGGAUUUUCCAUCUUUGUGGUUGCUGUGGCUGGGCUGAGGCAGAGGUGACCAUCAGAGGUGACUGAGGAAGUAGGAAAGAAGCUCAAUGCUCAUUUUCUCAAGGUCAUUGAGUCUCAGCUAUGAGAUCAAGGGCUGUGCUGUGUGUGCUCACAUCUCAUCCCAGUUGUGCACCAGACACAGCCUUGCUGGGAGACAAACUGGGGUAUUUUCAGCCCAGCACUCCUGGUGAUACUCUCAGCUGGGACGGAUAGAUUAAAGGUGCAAGUUUUCAGCACAUGCCCCUGGCUAGGCAGAACAGGCAUCACCUCUAAGUCUCUGUCAGACCCCACAACAAGGCCUGUGUGUCCUGGAAACUGGAAAACUGCUAAUACCACCAAAAGGCAGUGUCAAAGUCAGAAGAGAGAUCAACAACACAGCUGGAAAGCAUCCAGGUACAGUUUCCAAGCCCUUUCUGAGCUCCCUGCCCUCAUCAUAACUCUUCUCCUCUACUCUCUUGCUUCUGCAUAAGUUGUAUCCACCUUGGAGAGGGGAGCAGGAGCUGCCAAGUCACCCUGUCAGAAGCUCACUGCUCUGCUGGUGUGCAGUUUCUCCUUGUCCCUGCUCUCCUUGCCUCUUUCCAAUCUGUCAGCACCAACCUCCUCCAUCCCUCUGCAUAAGAUACACCGAGAGUUCUGGAGCUGGGGAGGGGCAGGUGGGAGAUGCAGCAGUGUCAAAGAGGGAAACAUAGAAAAUUGAGAGCAAAUAGUAGAAGAAUAAAUGAGUAUUCAGGAGGAUUUUGUGUGUGCUGAUAGUUACUGCAUCCAUCACUCCUGUCAUCAUCAGAGCCCUGUGACACAGCCUGUCCUCACUGGUUUUAGUGGGCUUCAGAUUAGAUCUGUAAUCAAUACAAAGUAUUAAAAGAGCUGAUUAAGAAACAACUCCAGGAGCUUGGCUGGUCAAAAGCCAUUUUGGUGCUUGAAUGAUUCCCCCUGCUCAGCAGUCAGCUGCAUCACUCUUGGGCCCUUUGCUUUCAGAGGACGUGUCUGUGGGUGACAGUGACAAAGAGAAAUACACCCAGGGGACACCAUUUGAUCCAGGGCUGCUCCCUGCCAGGAAAGGCUGACUCUGGACUGACGAAGGUGCUUGUUCUUAGAUUGAAAUACUAAGCUGGCAUCUACUCUGCACUAGGCCAAAAGAGAGUAGGCUUGCUUUUUUGUGGGAGUGCUGGUGCUAAAGCCAGCAGCUUUCCUUUUUGCUAAGUCUGCAAAAGCAAUGACUAAUAUGGUCAAAGUCAAAGGAAUACUGCCAGUUUAGCAGAAGCACUGUUUCUAAAGGUUUUGAAGUCUCUCUUGUAAAAUCUGGUAGGAGCAGAGUUUCUUAUAUUGCACAGUUAAUACUGAAAAUUCUUUCCUUUUGUAUUUUCAGUUAAUACUGAAAACACUUUCCACUGUAAGUUUGAUUUUUUGUUUCCUUCCCUGCCUCUUGCAAAUGUAAAUUGAAUAAAAUUAAAAGUGUAAACUCCAUAAACACAUUUCAAAGUCUAUCAGCAAACCCUUUCCUGUGCACAUGUUGAGCCAGGGAAGUGGGAUAUCUGCAGGCUGAACGGGAAAUUCUGCAGCUCCUUCUGCCAGAAGAUAGUGCUUCCCUAUCUCCCCAUUCUGGCCACUGCCAUAGGAAGCAUCCAGGAUUCCAGAUAACAGCUUUUGAGGCAGCACAGAAAUGGUGAGCAGGGCUCUCUUUUCAGCAACAGUUUCAGUAACUUUGACCUGUGGUUCAAGAGCACCUGCUGGUGUUGACUGUUUUCAAGGAUGGCUCAGGUAGACAGAGAGGACACACUGUGCAAACAGAAAAUGUUGAGCUGUCAUUUGCCAGCUACCCACGAGAUGGAAAAAAUGAAGAGCUGAUUUUAUUUGAAGGCAAAAGCCACCUCACUGUUGCAGGGUGGCAAACGGCAGAAUAGUCAGAAUAUAAUCAGGGAAGCUGCUUAGUUUAAUGAAUGCAAAUGUGAUAAAUUGCUUGUUUAUAAAUUACUUAUUCCUUGUAAAUAUAAUUAGUGAAGUAUUUAUUAGUUAAAAUCGCCAAAAUCAUAUAUCUCCAAGCUUGUGAGCUGUGUAUUAGCAAUGCUAAGUGUUACCAUCAGCCAGUUUUCAUCAUCAUAUUUUAUUAUCAGUAACUUUAUAUUUAUUUGCACUGCUUUGUGCACUAGCCAGGUGGGAUCUGCAGUGAUUUCACUGUGAAAGUGUCAGCAACACUUCCUCUGGGUCUCUGGGGAAUAUUAAUGGCAUGCACCCUGCCUCCAUGGAUGCCAUGGUCACAACUUCCAGUAAUUUCACUGAGAACGGGAGCAAGCCUCACAUGUGCUGCUCUGCUCUCUCCUGGCAUGAUCCCACUCUCCAAGAUGAGGGCUUGGGAGCUCCCCAUGGGCCAGAGCUCCAUGGUCAGCUGACACCUCAUUAAUUUAUCCCCUGGAUGCAGUAUGUCUUGAAGCCUUUCCUCUUCCAUUUCUACUGCUGCUUGUUAUUUUAGGGGCAUUUUUAAAGUCACCUUGCUCAUGUUGAAGUGCUGUGAGCUGGAAGGUAAGAUGCAGGAACUUUGCAAUUUGACACUGUAGCAUUUGGAAGUGGAGAUAUCCAUGGUGAAUUAAGACACCAUCCUUACAGCUUUUGUUCUUCCCAUUAACCUGGAAAACACAGGAGACCUGGAAAAUAAGUCUAAAGAAGUCACUUUACCCAUUCACAGGAGCAGGCACUGCUCUAGCCAAGUGUGGUCACCUCUGCCUCAAAGUAAUCCUGCCAAGCAGCUAUCCACAAAAGAAUGGCAAAAGAUGACAUUAGAGGUGCAUAAUGUGCCAGAGGAUCUCCUAGGCAACUUCCAAAGCCCUUGGUCGCUUAGGGCACAAGGAUUUCAAGCACUGAACACAGGAAUUGAAUUAAGAAUAUCUUGAUCUUUCUACAUUUUUCUUAUAUUCACAUAAGAUCUGGGUGCACAGAUCCAGACAACAGUAAAUUAUUCAUGGAGCAAGGAUGAUUUCCUCAGUUAAGGAACCUGUUUGAGAAUCAGUUUUUGGGUGCACCAUGGAAUGGGGAACUCCUUUGGAAGACAGGCAAUGUUCAGUGAAACUCCUGGAAUAAAUAUGCUUUGGAAGUUGAAAAGACACUGAGUACUGAAAGAUGAAAAGAACCUAGGAAUUUAAGAUUUUGCCCUGCAGUUAAAGGAUGUGGGUGUUUUGACCCAGCAGCUUCUGGUUUGUUGAAGUGAGUUUUCUCAGUGUUGUGAAUAUUUUGCAUAAGGAAUAUUUAUAUUUCUUUAUCUCUAAGCUCAGUGGUUGUUUGUUUUUAAUGUAAUCUAGAAUGAACUCUUGUAGUAAAUGCUGAUGUUAUUUAGAGGAAGCAUAAAUCAACCACUGAUAUCCUCACAGCUCCAGCAAUUUGAAACCCCUAACUAAAGCAGAGCUGAAGACAGAAUAAAGCACAGAGAGGUAGUAAUAUGCUUUUCUCUUUCCUAUUUAUUUGUAAUUGUGGCCUCAGCUGGGAGCAAGAAGGAAAUAUUUGGAAUUCUGAGUUGAUUACCAUGCUGCUCUUGGUCCAGCAAAGGUAUGAGAUGCCCAUGUCUGUACUGUGCAGCCUCCUUUGAUACCACACACAGCAUCAGGAAAACAAUUCCUUAGUAUUCUUAGAGAACUCCCUGCAAGAGGAUUGCCUGACAAGGGCUUUUCAAUCUGAUAAGUCUAUGGAAUGGCUCUUUACAGCCUCCUGAUUAAAUGAAUUGUCUCCGCAAGUAACUGAUGCCACUGAACCAGCUUCCAGCUCCACGAUAGUGAAUGCCUCAUUCUGCUCACGGGGUUGUUGCAGCAUUUUUAGAGGGGUCAUACCUGUGAGUGUCAUUUAAUGUCAGUUGGAGUGACUGCUCCAUUCUCCUGGAAAAUGCCAAGGCUGCCCUAAAAAGGUGAAUGGCUUAAGUCCCAGAAAAGACUAUGAAUAUUCAUAGUCAUAUUUUUGCUUUUGUUAAAUAGUAUCAAGUACCCAGCAGCUUCUGGUUCUGUCUGAAUAAAUUCUGGCAGCCACAACAUCAGCUUGUCUUUGACCCUUGGAUGGCAUCACCCAAAGAUAAAGCAAUGGGCUAAAUGACUUGGGAGCUUUUAGAACAGUGUUCAGAGAAGCAUGUGCCACUGCAAAGCAGAAGAGGCAUAAAUAAUUUAAAGACAGUCCUUUUACUCAGCUACUCCUAUUUGCUUACGAAGAAAAUCUUGGAAUUUCAGGCAUGAAAAUAAACACACUGAGGUGAAUGGUGAUGCCACCCAAUGUAAAACAAUGUAAAGCAUAGAGGAUGUAACUUUUCUUUAUCUUUCCUUAACUUGAAAGUUAUAUAAUGAGACAACAUUUAUAAAAUCUCUUUUCAGUUGCUAUGCUAAUAAUUAAAGAUGCAACACCAUAUGCUGGGAAAAAUAAAGGAUGAAAUAUUCUCUGUUUUCUGGACCAUGAGAAAAAAUUUGGGCAAGAUUGAAAAGUUAUAUCCUAGAGAUAACAUUCAAGCCUGGGCCAUUCUUGCUGUGUGCAUAUACAUAACCAUCAGAAGCUGCCAGCUUUGCCCCAAAAAGGAAAUGAACCUCUGGUAUGUUACAGAGCAGACAGGGGUGAAAGAACCCCUUGAUUUAGCCCCAGCCUGCAAAAUGUGAAUCUAGGUAUUACAGUCCUUUUGUUACUCUGCUUUAAAGGUAUUGAAUUGUGUUACAGUGCAUUACAUUUCAUCUGUUAAUCUCAAGCUGCCUCGAGAAUGGCUGAAUGUGUCAGGAGAGGGUUUCCUGGUGCUUCAGAUCUGAGUCAUCAACUGGGUU